rnacentral:rRNA from 1 species
GUCCACACCGUAAACGUUGGGCGCUAGGUGUGGGAUCCAUUCCACGGGUUCCGUGCCGUAGCUAACGCAUUAAGCGCCCCGCCUGGGGAGUACGGCCGCAAGGCUAAAACUCAAAGGAAUUGACGGGGGCCCGCACAAGCGGCGGAGCAUGCGGAUUAAUUCGAUGCAACGCGAAGAACCUUACCUGGGUUUGACAUACGCCGGAAAGCCACAGAGAUGUGGCCCCUUUUUGUCGGUGUACAGGUGGUGCAUGGCUGUCGU